GCAGCUCAGUAGUAGAGCUUCUGCUUUGCAUGCAGAACAUCCUGAGAUUCAGUCCCUGGCAUCACCA